rnacentral:rRNA from 1 species
AGGGUGUAAACGCUGCAGACUUGGUGUUGGAAGCCCUUUGGGGGCAUUCAGUGCCGGAGAGAAGUUGUUAAGUCUGCUACUUGGGGAGUACGUCCGCAAGGAUGAAACUUAAAGGAAUUGGCGGGGGAGCACCGCAACGGGAGGAGCGUGCGGUUUAAUUGGAUUCAACACCGUAAAACUCACCAGGGAAGACUGUUACAUGAAGGCCGAGAUGAAGACUCUGCUAGAUUUUCAGAGAGGAGGUGCAUGGCGUCAGUGA